GUUCGAAUUGGUAGCAUGUCCUCGAUCUUUUCCUUGUUCAGCCGACUCUGGAAUCUACACACAUUGAUCGUUUCUUGUACGGAGCAGUCCACUGCGCCUGCUGAGAUUUGGAGAAUGCCUCAACUUAGGCAUAUUAAAAUGACUGAAAGAAGUUUNUUUUACCGCAACAAUUUUCUACAAUCUUUUUCCCUGUAACCUCUUAUCACGCACAAUGAAAAAUAAUUAAGGGAUCUCAGCAUGAUUACAGUAAUAAUUUUCAUUGUGCAUUAUUUUUCACAGUCAGUCAAAAUAAUUGAAGUAUUAGCUUUAUUUCUUCUUCUUUUUUUCUACAUGUUUAUUUACGCAUUUUAUUAAUUUAAUUUAUAAAUCAUAGUGGUUCCUCUUCCUCUGGAGUCCAUUUAUUGGCAAAAAAUAUUAUUGUAGAAAUUUAUGAAUUGAAAUUUUUACUAUGAACUAGUAUGUGCCCGCUCGUGCGAUGCACGACCAUCAUCGAAAUUAGAACGAUAAUUUAAAUAAAUAAAUAAAAAUAGUUAAACAUAAUAUAUAUAUAUAUAUAAGUAAAUAUAAACAUAAAAUGAUCUCAAUAAAAAAUAAAAUUAUUCACAAUAUAAAUCUCAAUAAAAAAUAUCAAUCUGAAAACAUUCGAAUUUUCAAUUAUUGAAAUAGCAAUUAAUUGAUUUAAUUGAUAAUGUGUAUAAAUUUAUAAAUAAAUAAAUUAUGAAAUAUCAAAAGCAAGUAUAGAUGAUAAUGAGUAUCAUUAUGGAUCAUAUAAUAUUCUAAGAUGUACAAAACUAUUUAUUUACAUAUAGUAUAACUGUAGUUUAAUAUAGUUUUCGAAUGCAUAUUUAUGAGGUCAUUUUGUUUAUGCUCAAAUUUUAAAAUAAAGUUACAAUGUAUACAUUUUUUUUUUUCAAUUGGAAAGUGAAAAAAUAAAGGGUUUAACAUGAGAUAUGUGUCGUUCAUUUUCCAAAAUAAAAUGUAUACAAUUUCAGUAAAUUUAAAUAAAUGUGCUACUAAAAAAUUAAACUCUUCAAUUUACUUUUAUUUUUUAUUUUUAAAGAAAAUCGAUAAUGGUUCUCUAAUUACUGAUUUUCCAAUGAGUAAUUUUGAAGCUUAAAAAUUCGAUUUUUAAGAUAUACUAUAUAUUAGUUAUUUAUCUACAAAUUUAUAUUAAUAUAAAGUUGACCUUUAAAAAAUAUUUUUAAGCUAAAGAUUUCUAAAAUGAACAAAUAUAAGUUUCAUCAUUGUAAUUGCAUUAAACUGAUAUAAUAAAAAUAUAAAUAGUAAAAUAAUAUAAAAAUACUGAUCUAUAGUAAAAACAUAAAAAAUAAAAUAAAAAAUAUGGAAAAAGGAAUGAAAGAACCGUGAAUUUUAAAAAAUGAGAAAUGAGAGAGGAGAUGAUAGCGGAGAGAAGAGAGAGGAGAGAGAAAAAAAUUAUUUGGUGACUUUAAACUAUAAUAACUUAUUGGUUUUAAAUUUAUUUUUAUAAUUUUUACAUCAAAUUAAAGAUAUUCGUCAUUAUCUUUAAUUUUAACAUCCAUAUUGAAUAUUUUUUUAUAAAUUAAAGUUGAUGAAUUUAAAAGAAAAUCAAAUUGAAUAAAUAUAUUUGUAAUAUUGUUUUCUAAGUAAUUAAUAUAUUUUGUUGAAUUAGUGUGAACGUGUGAAAUGAGUUAGUGGUGUUAAUAAUUUUUUUAACCUUCAUAUUAAAAGUAUUAUCAAAAUUGCCAUUCAAAUCAAUUUCAAAUUGAUUUGAAAUCAAUUUCUAAUUGAAAACUGCUGUUUUAAUAUAACUAGUAUUUGCAUCCCGUGCAAUGCACGGUAAAAUAUUUUUUAUUUUUUAAAUUUAUAUAUAAAUUAAUACUAAUUUAAUUAUCAUACUCAUGAAUAUAAUAAAAUUUAAAUUUAACUAAAUAUAUUUGAAUUUAAUAUUAAAACAUAAAAUAAUUUACAAUUAUAAAAUUUGAUAUUAUGAAAGUAAAAAAAGUUAAAAAAUAAAAAAUACUAAUAUAAAAGAAUUAAAAAUAUUUUUUUUCAAAAACAUGAGAGAUGAGAGAGAAAUUUAUAAGAUUUUAAUAUUUAAACAAAUUUAAUUUGUAUAUUUUAAAUCAAAUAUUUACAUAAAAUAUAUCAAAUUAAAGCUCUUAUCGUGAUCUUUAAUUUGAUAUGCAUAUUGAAUAUUUUAUAAUUAAUCGAAUUUCACAGUUUUGGAAAUAAAUUAAAACAACAAAUCAGAAGUUAAAGAAAUGGAAAAUAAAAAGAAUAAUAUAGUUAAAACAUAAACCUUCAAUUUUAUUAUAACUACAAAAUUGCCAUUCAAUUUUGAAAUUGAUUUCCAAUUGGAAACUGCCUUUUUAAUAUAGUAUAGAUAUAGAUUAGUUUAAAUUUUAAGCAUCAAAUUGAUAUCUUAAACAUCCAGUACGAAUCCAAAUGUAAAUAUUCAAUAGAUGAGCAUAGAAUUGUGUCGGUAAUGUGAAAUAAUAUGCAGUGAAGUUCAUUCACUAGCCCAAGAUCAAAACCAUAAUUAAGGCGCCAAGGAUAAGCUUUGAAGAAUGAAAAUAGACAAAAGAUAAUAGCAGUGUUGGAGGCAAAAAAUGGAGAGUCUGUUUUCUUUCGGUUCAGUAGUUGUGUUGAAGACAAUUAAUCCUCUCCAUCUUUUUAAUUGAAGCUCUUUUUCUUCGUAAAAAAAAAGUUGUGUUGAAGACAUACAAAAGGAAUUAAAAAGGCCUACAGAAUAUUCUAGGCUACAACAUAAAGACCCAAAUAAAGAUUUAGAGAAACUAGGCAACAAUAAGACAAAUUAAAUGAACAUCAACAUUAAUUGAGACUUGGGUGCUUUAGGAAAAUCAGCUUUAACUUUCAACAGGUAAAACAUCGUUGAAUCUUUUAAAUACUUUAAAUAAAAAUAUUACAAAUUCAAAGGAUUUGUUUGUUAAAAAUAUAAUAAUUUAAAUGAAGACAAAUACAAAAUUAAAAGGAAAAACUAAUGUAUUGUUUCUUUUUUCUUUUCUAUUUUAGAUUUGGGACGAGAGAACAUAGGAUUGAACUCCAAUUAUUAGCUUAUUAAGCAGAUAAAAAGCGCCAAUAAUUUCAUUUAUCAUUUAAAAUAAAAGGAAAACCACAAUUCGGCACCUAGAAGAAGGAAGAGAGCGAGAUAUGGAACAUUAAUACUCAAAUUAGUAUUCCACAACUGAAUUCCUCAUCAAUCAAACUACAAGUUUAAGCAUGUCCUACAUGAAAGUUGGGAGUUGCCAAGCUCCGCAGUUCUUGGCUGACAUUGUAUGACUUAACUCGAACAUGGAAGGAUGGCUCCCCUUGUAACUCCUCUUGUUCGUCUACUAUCCUUUUCAAAGACAUAGCCAUCGAUUCACUGCACUCCGCCAAUUCAAUUGAUCUGAGUGUUGCUAUUUCUCCAAUUUCUGAAGGGAACGCCUUCAACAACCGCAUGCUUUUGAGACGAAGUUGCUCGAGGCGCGGCAAGCAAGAGCCCUCUAACGUCCAACAUUCCAUAUUCGCACACUCAUCCAAACUCAAGUAUUUGAGGCACGGGAAUCGGCCUUCAACUAUUUUCCAACUGGGUGGCAAACCGACCAUGUUCCAGUUCCAGUUGAAGUUCUCAAGAAGUGGUAACCAACCUAGAUGUUCCAGAAUUUCCUCAAUAUGGACGUCACAGCUAAGAAACACUUCUUGAGUGAGUUUGGGAAGAUAAUAUUUGCAAAUACCAUCAAUUCCAUACUAAUAUAGCACUUAAGCUUUCCAGUUUACUCAGAAACCGAACAUACCUUAGGCACUUCCCUCUGUCCAUUAGUUUAUCCCAGUAACUUAUAUACAAUUUGAUAUUGGGUAUUCUUUUAACCAAUGCUUCAUUCAAGUUAAAUCAAACCUCUUUAGGUCUCUAGAUUCUCCAUGAUAACAUUAUCAUCACUCGGAGGAUCUGGGAGAUACAUUCCUCCAAAUGCACUCGAAUGCUUAAGCUGAUGCAUUUUCCAAAUUUCUGUGGUGCAGUAAGUUCCUCAUCAUAAAUAGUAAUUAGUGUAUGUAGAUUCCAUAGGAAAAUUGAUUGAAGAAGGGAUGGGGACUCCUCAAGACAUCUUCUCGAAACUCCAAUCGAAAGGUACCUAAGUUCAUCAAUGAAACACAUUUUUUAGGUAAGACUCAUGGAUAUACGCAUGUAUAGUCAGAAUCCUCAACAGCCUACAAUUUAGCAAUUGCCGAACUAUAUCAUAAGGACGUUCAUGAUGACGGCCAAGUAAUAAAGAUAGGUAAGAACGAGCAAGUGGCAUAGAUUCCAAGGCAUCACAGACAUUCUCAUCUAAAAUCAUUUUGGGAAGAAUGUGGCGUUGGCUAUUUGUGACUCGGGGAAUAACAAUGCGGCGUUGGCUACUUAUGCCUCGAGGACAAUGUUGCCCUAAGACAUAAUAAAACCUCUGCUUUUCAGCUCUUUCAAAGAUAGAUCUCUCAGUAGAUCAUGCAUUUUGCAUACUUUAUAUUCCCAAGUUUCCCCAACUCAUUAACUAGAACGAGAUUUCUAUCAACUAGACUCCUUACAGAUACUCUUUGGCAACAGUUUCCAAGCUCUUAUUAGUAAUUGGUUUAAGAAAUCCUUCAUAAACCCAUCUCUUGAUGAUAUCUGAGACUCUAAUUUUCUCAUCUUCCCCAAACACUCCCAUAUACAGAAAACAAGGCUUCAGAUAGGCAGGCAAAUGGUCAUAGCUCAGUUUCAAUACUCUUAACCAAUAUUCAUCAUUCUCAGAAUUCACUAUUGAGCUUAAAUUUUUCUCUAUGUGCUCCCAAUAUUCUAGUGUAAGUUCGGACUUUGCCAAAAGACCCCCAACCACAACAAUCGACAAAGGAAGUCCAUAACACUUUUCCACAAUUUUCUUUCCAAUUUCCUCAAGUUGUGGAGGAAACCCCUCAUCCCCAAACACAGUUUUGGAGAACAAGUUCCAGCUACUAACAUCAUCUAAGAGUCGCAUACCAUGCUGUUAGAGUCUGUCAACACGGCAGCCAAGUUUGACAGCCUAGUCGUUGCGAUUAUUCGACUCCCAUCAUUGUUAUCAGGAAAGAAAAACCUCAUCUUAUCCCACACCUCUACACUCCACAUAUCAUCCAGUAUUAUGAGAUACCUCCUGCAUAAUAAAUACUUACGUAGUUUGUCUCCUAAAUCUUCCUCACUUAGAUCACCACCCGAAUUUCCACUUACUUGGCGAAGAACUUCUCUAAGUAUUUCUCUAACAUUAUAAGUUUGAGAAAUUGUAGCCCAACCACAAAUAUCAAAAGAUGCUUAACAAGUGCAUGCUCAAAUAUAUGAAGGGCAAGAGUGGUUUACCAAUCCCGCCCAUCCCCGUGAUUGGGAUGAUUUGGCGAUUGCGGUGCCCUCCAGUGAGCCUAUCCAGGAGUUCAAGUGACACAUCGUCAAAGCCCACCAUUAUGCUUUCCUUCACAGUGGAAGAGAACGUCAAGGAGCCAGCACGAGUCGAGGAGACAUUUCUCUGCAGCUGAGCUUCCGCUGCACUCUCCGUGGCUUCUUUCUUGAUCUGAUCCAUUUCUUCAAUCACUUUUUGUACAUCUUGAUACAAGUUAAUCAGUUCAUCAUUGUGAUCUGAUGACUCAUUUUUCGGAUCUCGAAAGCAGUUGAAGAAACAGCUGAUUUUGGCUUCUUUGGAUCUGCUCAGCUGAACCUUCUCCACAAUAUGAGAUUCCAUAGCAUCUUUGGAUCUGCUCAGCUGAGCUUUGUGCACAAUAUGAGAUUCGAUAGCAUCUUCAGCCGCAUAAGCUGCAUCUGUGAUACGCAUCUCCAAUGAAUCAGCUUCAUCUCCAUUAGCAACAGGGGACUUAUAACCUUCAAGAAAUUCCUGCAAGAACAUAACAGUUUCUGUGAGAGAUUGAACUUGUUGUUUGUCGAGAGAAAUUGGAGGGGAAGGAUGAUGCUCGAUAUCAUCGAUGAUAUGCAUAAGAGAAACUAAGGCUGCAUAGGCCGCCAUGAUUGAAGGGAAAACAGUGUAUAUUUUUCUGAGAAUUUCGGUCAAGAAUUUGAUAGAAUCUUAGUUCAGCUUCAGCAAAAACUAUGUGUAAGUCGCAGUGGCUAAGAUAAAAUCACAUUAUUGCCAACAGCUAAGAUAAAAUAAGUCAGUUGGCCCUACAGUUUACUAGUCGUUGACGUAGCCUAGUUACUCUUUUUAAUAGAACAGGUAAAUAAGAAAGCUGCUAAAGUCUUCAAUUUCAUUUUUUUUUAAAGAUGUCAAGUUUUGAAUUUUCACAAGAACCGAUUUGAUGUUAUCUAACUUGAGGCAGAUUAUGUGCACCAAACAUGUAUAUUACUGGCGCUAGCUGUGGUAAAAUGUUGGUUAUACCAAGAUAAUCAUAAGUGUUAUAGACCUGUACAGAUGCAUGUGAAUACUAUCAUAUCUUCCAGCCCCAUAUGCUUCGAUCUCAAUUUUCUUCACAUCCAGAUGUGAAAAUGUAACAGAGAGAAACAUAGGCCUUAUAGAAGCAAGUUUGACCUUUUGGCUGGACAGAGAUCUUUUUGAAAUCGAACUUAUUUAAGGUAUCUCAGAUCUGAAAGCUGUUAUAUUAUUUUUCACCUCCAUAAACUCAAUAACAUACAUAAACUAAGCAUGCUCCUAAACAUCUUCAAGAAACAUACUGCAUAAAUGUAGGCGAGACUGAUCUACGGCUUCAACAUUUGUAGAUACAUCAACGAGGUUGUGAUGCUUCAAGAAACAUACUGCAUAAAAGUAGGCGAGAUUGAUCUACUGCAUAAAACACGCUGAUUUUUAUCAAACAAGGAUUGGAGUUGCUAAUCGAAUUCGUGCCCAAUGUUAACAAUGCCGUUCUAACAGAGUAUUGCUGCGGAAACUCGUUGGGCCCAUUGGCCCAAAGCUACCCAACAGGGAAAAAAAAAGAAAAGGAGUGGGUUGGAUCGGAUUCCUUAAACAGAUGGAGGACGGGCCAACCUGUAGAUGGAAUAUGAUAUACAUAUUUUUUUUAAAUGAUUAGUUCUCAUUUUAAUCUCGUAGUGACUCAAAUUAUCACAGUAAUAGUUCUCAUUUAGUCAUUUUCAUCUCGUAGUGACUCAAAUUAUCAAGUAACUUGCGCUUUAUUGUCGAUAUAAUACAAAAUGUUGAGCUAAAUGUUGUCACUUGUCACUGUAGUACUCCCUCCAUUCAUUGGCCAAAAUUAUAUUUCCUCCAUCCACGAUAUUGUUUCCACCUUUUUAUUUAUACUAGCAUAAAAAAUGUACAAUGUAUGUGUAAUUAAUAUUAUUUUAUUUGAUAAUAUAUUUUAGAAAAUCUAUUAACUCAUUACUUUAAAUAAUUUAUUUAAUAGAUAUAUUUAUUUAUAAGUCUUAUCAAUAGCUAUAGAUAUAGGGAAAAAUUCUAUUGAAAAAGACAAAUAUUUAAAGAAGUGAGAAAAAAUCUCAUCCAUCGAUCAUGAUCCAUCAAAUAGUCCAAUAUUAAGAAUAAAUCUCGCGUCCGGAUUUUAAUGAAUAUAUUAAUAAUUGUGAUGAACAUGUCAGUAAUUUUUUAUGAACGGACGUAUUUGUUGAAAAGAUGUAUUUGUUUAAAAUUUCACACUCCAGGAUUCGAUCCCCAAACGUCCCUAAACGUUCAAUAAAAUUAUUGCUAUGUUCAUAAAAAAAACUAUUGAUAUGUUCAAUGAUCCUAACUUAAAAAAAAAUUAAGUCUCCAUAAAACCUAACCCUAUAAAUAUAUAUCACAUAGAAUAUCUAAUGAAUUAAUAUAUAUUCUUAUAAAUAUGUAAUAUGUAAAAUAAUUUUAAAAUAAAAUAUACAAUAGGGGGUAAAAUAGACAAUCCACAAGUUGUGUCUUACACUGCCUUAGGCUCUUUUUCUAUUAGUAUAGAUAACUGUAGGGUUCACAUAACACUUUAUUUUUUAAUCUCGUACCGUUCACAAAGUGAAAAUAAUAUCGUGGACAGAGAGAAUAAUAUUUUUCUUUUUAGCACAUGGCUCCACCAUCUAAUCUUGUACUUUACUUUUACAAAUACAAUUAUUUUAAUAAAAAAAAAAAAAACCACAUAGCCUACUAACUUUAAUUUANNNNNNNNNNNNNNNNNNNNNNNNNNNNNNNNNNNNNNNNNNNNNNNNNNNNNNNNNNNNNNNNNNNNNNNNNNNNNNNNNUGGCCGGGGCAGAGACGACGAGGCCGGGGGCGAUGGCGGAGGCGACGAGGCCGAGGCGGCGAUCUGAGAUCGAAGGGAGGGAGGGAGAGAGAGAGAGAAGGGGGAAGGGCCGUGAGGGAGAAGAGAGAGAAAGAGAGUGGAGAGAGAGAGUAGUAUAUUUGAAGGAGGAUAUUUUUGUCUUUUCAAUCAAAAAGUAGACAAUUUUUAUUAUUUUUAUCUUAGUGGACAAUUUUUAUCUUUACAAUAUGAAAGUGGAUAGUUUUAUAUAUUAACUCUUUUUUAAUCUUGUACCGUUCACAAAGUGAAAAUAAUAUCGUGGACAGAGAGAAUAAUAUUUUUCUUUUUAGCACAUGGCUCCACCAUCUAAUCUUGUACUUUACUUUUACAAAUACAAUUAUUUAAAAAAAAAAAAAAAACCACCAUAGCCUACACUUAAUUUAUCCUCAACCAUUACAUAAUUUACAUUCACCCAUAAUUUUGUUAAAAUCUAUGCCCAAACAAAAUGCCAUACUGUUGACGAACUAAUGGAGUAUUUACGAUUUACCUUGCUAUUUUUGUCCCACAUGAUUAGCUGAUUUUGCGGUUGUUCAAUGAGACUUGAGAUAUUAAUUUAGAAUUUUGGGGCAUUUUUGCAGUAUCAAACAAAACAAAUACUAAUGGAUUAUGACAACUUGCCAACUUGAAAUGUUUUCCAAAAUUCAUUUCACAUCUACCAACUUAUGAAUCUAUACAUUUUGCAACUAGGAAUGCAACUUGGCUAAUUGCAAUAUCCUCUUGUACAAAACAACCCACAGUUUUGAACCUAGUAAAAAACCAGCAAAUUUGCCACAAAAAUGAGACUAAUUAAGAUUGAGUUGCUAGCCAUUGUGUUAGUAUAAGAAGCUAAAUUAAGUCUAUCAAAUUAUUGUCCAAAAUUCUCAUAAUUAUACUUAGGGCUGUAUACGAACCGAGCCGAGCCGAAUACCUCUAGGCUCGGGCUCGGUUCGUGAAGAUUUGGUUCAGCUCGAGUUCGGCUCGAGCUCGAAUUCGAGCCUAAAAAUGAGCUCGAGCUCGGCUCGCUUAUAUAAUACCAAGCUCGAGUUUGGUUCGAAUUCGGCUCGUUAAUUAUUCGUUUAUCUCGAGCUCGAGCUCGACUCGUUAAUUAUUCGUUUAUCUCGAGCUCGGCUCGAAUUUCAAGCUCGAAUUCGAGAUCGGUUCGAAUUAUUUAUAUAUUAAGGUUUCAUNUUUUUGAUUGUGGCAGACGAAUUUUUCCUACUUGUGGUGACUUUAUAUCAAUUGCAUUUAAUUCGUUUAGUUUUAUUUUUGGUUUGAAGUUUUGAUCAGUUUCUUUUGAUUACAAUUUAUUUCGUAUUUUGUGAUGGAGUAUUUUAUGUUUGCUUUUAUUUGUUUUAUUAUUGUUAAUUUAAUUAUGAGUAGCUAAGCUUUUAAUUCGGCGAGAAUAAUGAAGCAUUAAUUUAAUAAUCCGUGAGACCUAAUUGAGCAUAAAAAUUGAUUCCUAUCAAUUUCGAUUAAUUUCUAGGUUUUAAAGAUAAUUCUGAUUUUAUUUAAGUCUGAUCAACUUAGAUUUAAUUCGAUUACAGUCAAUUAGCACUCCAAUCGUAUUUUGGAUAAGGCUGAUUAGUGAUAAAACUAUCGUGUUCGUAGUAGGAAUUAAUUGGUGUAUUAAUUAUUACUAGCGUAUCUAGGAUAAUUGAUAUAAACUGGGUUCCUUCAUCUUAAUGCUAUUAGAAUAUUAUUAAAUCUAGGUCUGGCAUCUCCAGCUAGGUUAUAUUUUAAUAAGGGAAAUAAGCAGGCCUGGCGUCUCCAGCUGUUUAUCGACACAGUAAGUAGGAAUUGGGGUACGUCCGUUGCGUUUCACGGUAUCCUAUAACUGGUUGGUUGAUAGGGAUUAAUUAAUCUUUGCGUCGAUGAUCAGAGCUUUGAAUUAAUGUGGAUUUAUUUGAGCCGAGUACCUUUUUAUUGAUUAUUUUCUAGAGUUAUUUUAAUUAAUUUAAUUUGCUUUCUUAGGUUAAUUAAUAUUUUCUCAAAUUAAGGCGUGGUGGCAUCACCAAAAUUUAUAGAUUUUUGGGGAAUUGAAUGAUUUUACCUGCUCUCUGUGGGAUCGACCCUGCUUGUCAUUAUACUAAUUAGUUUUGAUAAUUCGGCAGGAAUUAUUUGGUGGAAUACGACUCCACCAGUGUCUCAUGCUUAUAUCUAUUAUUUUAAAAUAUUUUUAUAAAAUAAAAUUUAAUAUAAUAUUAUGAAUUAUAUUAAAUUUUUAUUUCAAAAAUUUAAAUUUUUUAUAAAAAUAAAAUUUAAUAUAAUAUAUACUAUGACUUUGAAUUUAUCAACCUAUUAUUAACUAAUAAAAGUAAAAUUAAAUGAUAAAAAAAUAAUUAUAUACCCUAGAUAAUAAUCAUAAAAUUAAACUAAAGCAUAUAAAGUUGAAAUUGAAGAGAAAAUAUAUAAAAAAAAUAUGAACAAAUUUGAAAGUGGGAUACAAAGUGGGACAUAAAAUGUGGUAUACUGAAUCUAAAUAGGGUUCAUAACACUUUAUCACUUUAUUACAUACUUAAAAUACUAAUCUACAACUCCUUAAAUCCCGUGCCGAAAAGCAAAUGUAUCGUCUUGGCCGGGACGGAGGGAGUAGUACUUUAUUUUUACCAAUAGAAUUAUUUAGAAAAAUAAUCACCACAGCCUACACUUAAUUAAUCCUCAACCAUUUAUGUCCAUACAUUCACCCAUCAUUUUAUUACUUAUGUCCAGCCAAAAUAUCAUACUUUUGAAUUUUGAUGGACUAACCGAGUAUUUACGAUUUACCUUCGAUAUUUUUGUUCCACGUGAUUAGCUGAUUUUCCGGUUGUUCAAUGAGACGAGAGUUAUAUUUGUUCAUUUUUGCAGUGUUGGGAUUUAAACUACUGAGAUAUAUAUCAUACAUACUAUCAGGGGCGGAGCCAGACUUUUGAUUCAGGGGGGUCCAAAAUUUUUUUAACGUAACUUUGAAAGUGUGGCAAAGUAAAUCACUCAUCUUUUAUAAUUUUUGCAAUUUCAUCCCCCAAUUUUUUCGAUUGUCGAAUUGUUAACUUAAAGUUUGUGUGAAUUAUUUCUCCAUGUAAUAUUCAUGUUACGAUGUAUUUUUCAAUAAAAUUACUACAUAUUGAAAAUUAUGGUGCAAAUACAAGAUACAGUCUCUUUCUAAUUUGGAAAAAAAAAUUAAUUGAAAUUGUACGAAACGACGUCGUUUAGGCCUCACAAAAACGACGUCGUCUUUACUAAUCCACGUAAGUUGCAAUUCAACACUCUGACGAUCUAAAAAAAAAUAGGGGACGUAAUUGAAAAAAUUGAAAAAAUAGUGAUUUAAUUCGCCACAGUCAAAAGUCAUGUUAAAAUUACAAAUUUGAAAUAGUUUGUGAUUUUAUUUGCAAAAAUCUCAUAAAACUUUGUAAGAUAAAGUAACUUUCAAUAUCAAAUUAAAAAAAUAAAUCUCUAAAAUCCAAUCCAAUCAUGAUAUGUAUAAAUUAAUUAUGUGUUCACUUCUUCAAAACGUCUUAACUCUAAAUAUUGCAUACCAAUUACAGUUUAAAAUAGCUCAACAUAAUAAUAAUGUAGAUAAAAUUAUAUAUUUUUAUUUUAAUAUAAAAUUAUGAAAAUACCCCUACUAUUUUUAAAAAUCCCAGGGGGGCCCAGUGACCCCCCUGCCCCACCCCUAGCUCCGCCCCUGACUACAACAUGCCAACUUACAAUAUUUUCCAAAAUUCAUCUCACAUCUACCAACUUAUGAAUCUAUAAAUAUUGCAACUAGGAAUGCAACUUGGCUACUUGCAAUAUCUUCUUCUACAAAACUAACCACAGUUUUGAACCUAGUCAGAAACCAUCAAGAUUGGCACCAAAAAUACGACUAAUUAAGAUCGAGUUGCUAGCCAUUGUGUUAGUAUAAGAAGCUCAAUUAAGUCUAUCAAAUUCUUAUCCAAAAUUCUCAUAAUUAUACUCUAUUUCCCUUCAACUGAUAUCGAUCAUGGCAGCCUACGCAGCUUUGGUUUCUCUAAUUCAUAUCAUAGACGACAUCGAGCGCCAUCAUUCCCCUCCAAUUUCUCUCAACAAACAACAAGUUCAAUCUCUCACUGAAAAUGUCACGUUCUUGCAGGAGUUUCUCGAAGCUUAUAUCUCCCCUGUUUCCGACGGCGACGAAGCAGAUCCAUUGGAGAUGCGUAUUGCAGAUGCAGCUUACGCGGCAGAACACGCCAUCGAAUCUCAUAUCGUGGCCAAGAUUCAGCUGAGCAGAUCCAAAGAAACCAUUUGCAGCCACUUCUUCAGCUGCUUUCGAGGGGCAGAGGAUCCAAAAACUGUCUCACCAAAUCAUGAUGAUGAUGAAGAGAUGAACUUGUAUCAAGAUGUGCAAAAUGUGAUACAAGAAAUGGAUGAGAUCAAGAGUUUGGCGAUGCAGAGGAAUACAGAGAAGGUGGUGCUCCAUGAUAAGCGGCGCAGCUUCGUCUCUGCUCCUUCUUCCACUGGGAAGAACAGUAGUGGCACGGUGGUGUGGUCCGAGGGUGUCGUGAAUGGAAUCUUGGAAAGGCUCGUUGCGGACCAACACGAACGCCAAGUCAUCCCGAUCACAGGAAUGGGCGGGAUAGGUAAGACCACUCUUGCCAAAACUGUUUAUUCGAAGCCAAUUAUUGAGCAUCGUUUUGAUAUUCGUGCAUGGGCUACUAUUUCUCAACAAUACAACACAAGAGAAAUUCUUUGUGAACUUGUUUCUCAAGCCACUAAACAAUACAAGGAACAGUUGAGUGAAAGGAGUGAAGAUGAACUAGGAUUAGAGCUCUAUCAGUAUUUGUCAGGUAGAAGGUUUCUAAUUGUGAUGGAUGAUAUGUGGAGCAUCGAUGCAUGGGAUAGGAUACAACGUUUCUUUCCUGAUAAUGAGAAUUGUAGUCGGAUAUUAGUGACGACUAGGCUUUCACACCUGAGUUCCCAAUUGAACAACAAUUAUAUUCAAAUGGAAUUUUUAGAUGAGGUUAGAAGCUGGGAACUUUUCUCCAAAAUUGUGUUUGGGGUUGGGAGUUGCCCUCAUAAGUUAGAGAAAAUGGGAAAGGAAAUUGUAGAGCACUGUAGAGGACUUCCUUUAUCAAUUGUUGUGGUGGGGGGUAUUUUGAAAAAUAUGGAACACACUCUAGGAGGUUGGGAAUCAAUUAGGAAGAACUUAACUUCAAUAGUGAAUUUGGAGAAUGAUAAGCAUUGCUUGAAAGUGUUGAAAAUGAGCUAUAAUCAUUUGCCAAUUUAUUUAAAGCCAUGUUUUUUGUAUAUGGGAGUGUUUGAGGAGGAUGAUUCGGUUAAAGUCUCAACACUCGUGAAGCUAUGGGUUUCGGAAGGAUUUCUAAAGCCAGUGAAUGGCAAAAGUUUGGAAACUAUUGCCAUAGAGUUCUUAAAGGACUUGGUUGAUAGAAAUCUCAUUCUAGUUGGUGGGGGUCUAUGGAAAAUAAAAUUAUCAAAAUUCAUGAUUUGUUGAGGGAUUUAUGCUUGAACCAGGGCAAGAGAGAUGGGUUCUAUCAUGUGAUAGGGCAAUCUAGUCCUCGGGAGAAGUAGCCAACGCCGCGUUUUAUACGUAGGAGCACUCCCAAGAAAAGUCCUUGAUGACUUGCAAUCUAUGCCAUGUGCUCGUUCCGUUUCAGUGAAUAUGGGAAAGUCCCGGGGAGUAAGAACUCUGGAUGCUUAGAACAUUCAUGCAUAUAAGUUUCGUUAUUAUGAUGAUGAAAGCUAGUGAUCUCCCUUGGUCUCAGUUGUUAACUGCGCCACCUUGCUGUUGAAGUUGGUAGCAUGUCCUCGAUCUUUUCCUCCUUCAGCCGCUCUGGAAUCUACACACAUUGAUCGUUUCUUGUGAGAAGGAAUUCACUGCCCUGCUGAGAUUUGGAGAAUGCCUCAACUUAGGCAUAUUGAAAUGACUGAAAGAAGUUUUUGUCUUCCAGAACCUUCGAGUGAUGAUGUCGUCGUUAUGGAGAAUUUACUGGUGCUUGAGCGAGUGCGUAAUUUCAAGUGCAGUGAAGAGGUGGUCAAGAGAAUUCCCAAUAUCAAGAAACUGGGGAUG
rnacentral:lncRNA from 1 species